GGUAGCUUGCUACCCGCUGACGAGCGGCGGACGGGUGAGUAAUGCAUAGGAAUCUGCCCGAUAGUGGGGGAUAACCUGGGGAAACCCAGGCUAAUACCGCAUACGUCCUACGGGAGAAAGGGGGCUUCGGCUCCCGCUAUUGGAUGAGCCUAUGUCGGAUUAGCUAGUUGGUAAGGUAAUGGCUUACCAAGGCAACGAUCCGUAGCUGGUCUGAGAGGAUGAUCAGCCACAUCGGGACUGAGACACGGCCCGAACUCCUACGGGAGGCAGCAGUGGGGAAUAUUGGACAAUGGGGGCAACCCUGAUCCAGCCAUGCCGCGUGUGUGAAGAAGGCCCUCGGGUUGUAAAGCACUUUCAGCGAGGAAGAACGCCUAUCGGUUAAUACCCGGUAGGA
rnacentral:rRNA from 1 species